GAUGAACGCUGGCGGCGUGCCUAAUACAUGCAAGUCGAGCGAAUGGAUUAAGAGCUUGCUCUUAUGAAGUUAGCGGCGGACGGGUGAGUAACACGUGGGUAACCUGCCCAUAAGACUGGGAUAACUCCGGGAAACCGGGGCUAAUACCGGAUAACAUUUUGAACCGCAUGGUUCGAAAUUGAAAGGCGGCUUCGGCUGUCACUUAUGGAUGGACCCGCGUCGCAUUAGCUAGUUGGUGAGGUAACAGCUCACCAAGGCAACGAUGCGUAGCCGACCUGAGAGGGUGAUCGGCCACCCUGGGACUGAGACACGGCCCAGACUCCUACGGGAGGCAGCAGUAGGGAAUCUUCCGCAAUGGACGAAAGUCUGACGGAGCAACGCCGCGUGAGUGAUGAAGGCUUUCGGGUCGUAAAACUCUGUUGUUAGGGAAGAACAAGUGCUAGUUGAAUAAGCUGGCACCUUGACGGUACCUAACCAGAAAGCCACGGCUAACUACGUGCCAGCCGCCGCUGUAA
rnacentral:rRNA from 1 species